UACGGAGGGUGCGAGCGUUGUUCGGAAUUACUGGGCGUAAAGCGCGUGUAGGCGGCCUUCUAAGUCUGGUGUGAAAGCCCGGGGCUCACCCCCGGAAGUGCACUGGAAACUGGGAGACUAGAGUACCGGAGAGGAGGGUGGAAUUCCUGGUGUAGCGGUGAAAUGCGUAGAUAUCAGGAGGAACACCGGUGGCGAAGGCGGCCCUCUGGACGGAUACUGACGCUGAGACGCGAAAGCGUGGGGAGCAAACAGG
rnacentral:rRNA from 1 species